rnacentral:rRNA from 1 species
ACACACGGAUAACAUACCGAAAGGUAUGCUAAUACGGGAUAAUAUAUUUGAGAGGCAUCUCUUGAAUAUCAAAGGUGAGCCAGUACAGGAUGGACCCGCGUCUGAUUAGCUAGUUGGUAAGGUAAAGGCUUACCAAGGCGACGAUCAGUAGCCGACCUGAGAGGGUGAUCGGCCACAUUGGAACUGAGACACGGUCCAAACUCCUACGGGAGGCAGCAGUGGGGAAUAUUGCACAAUGGGCGAAAGCCUGAUGCAGCAACGCCGCGUGAGUGAUGAAGGCCUUCGGGUCGUAAAACUCUGUCCUCAAGGAAGAUAAUGACGGUACUUGAGGAGGAAGCCCCGGCUAACUACGUGCCAGCAGCCGCGGUAAUACGUAGGGGGCUAGCGUUAUCCGGAUUUACUGGGCGUAAAGGGUGCGUAGGCGGUCUUUCAAGUCAGGAGUGAAAGGCUACGGCUCAACCGUAGUAAGCUCUUGAAACUGGGAGACUUGAGUGCAGGAGAGGAGAGUGGAAUUCCUAGUGUAGCGGUGAAAUGCGUAGAUAUUAGGAGGAACACCAGUUGCGAAGGCGGCUCUCUGGACUGUAACUGACGCUGAGGCACGAAAGCGUGGGGAGCAACCAGGAUUAGAUACCCUGGUAGUCCACGCUGUAAACGAUGAAUACUAGGUGUCGGGGGUUACCCCCUUCGGUGCCGAAGCUA